ACUAAGGAUGGGUUAAAGGAAAGCAGGCAGUCCCUCCCCCUCAAAUUCCAAGAAAGUCUAUGAGGCUAGAGUUGUUCACUUUGGAGUGGCUGUUCAAGCAGCCAGGGUAGAGUGGGGAUGACCCAGGAAUGUCAGAGCAUGCCAUUGACCCCUAUCUGUUGGAAUCAUGGCAUUUCACAAAUGUAGCCUCACUUGUAUCCCUCUGGUGAUGGGAACCUCAUUCCCUCUUUAUGCUUUUUUGUUCUCGAAGAGAUCAGUCCAGGAAGAUAAAUGAAAACAGAUGACUCUGCCCUGUCCU
rnacentral:lncRNA from 1 species